UGAUAUUCUAAUGUACUAUAACUUAUUCUAAUAUUUCAUGGGAUUUAUUUGCAAUUAGUGUGAUAUAAAUUUCCAUAAUGUAUGGAAAGAUAUAUUAGAAGAUGCUAACCAUGGGCUUGUCAGAAAUCCAAAAAUUUGUAUGAAAUUUUUAAACAUUUUAUAUUGUCAAUUCAAUUUUUAAAAAGACUCAAUAUAGGCAGAGAAAAAUAACUACAGCCCAAGGUUAAGCCAAGAAGUAUUGUUUUUCUACUUUAAGGUUGCAUUUUCCUAUUCCAAGUAAUUUGCAUUAAUCAAAAAGUACAUGGAAAAUGUGUAUUAUAACAAAAGGUAUGGAAUUUUAAAAUUUUCAAAAUUCUUUUGCAUCAAAGUAAAUGUGUACUAACUUGUUAUAAUAUGUGUGAACAGGAGCUAGUUUGAGGCACUAAAAAGGAUAAAUCAUCAAUUUAAAAACAGCCCCUAUCAGAGCAACAUGAAUUCUGAUAAAAUUGAAGCAAGAACAAAUAUCAAAUUUAUCGUGAAGCGUGGGUGAAAAAAGGGUGAAAUCAUUGAUGCUUUAUGAAAAAUUUAUGGGGAAAAUGUCACAUUAUCAAACAGAUAACUCAUUUUAAGAACAGAUGAUAUGAUGUUGAAGUCGAAGCCCACAGCAGCAGACCAUCCACAUUAAUUGAUAGGAAAAAAAUUCAUCUUGUUUGUGUCUUAAUUGAAGAGCACUGAUGAUUAACAGCACAAGUAAUAGCCACAACCAUAUACACCUCAACUGGCUCAGCUUACACAAUUCUGACUGAAAAAUUAAAAUUGGCCAAAGUUUCCACUCUAUGGGUGCCAAAACCAUUGUGCCCAGAUCAGCUGCAGGCAAGAGUAGAGCUUUUGACGGAAAUUUUAAACAAGUGGGAUCAAGGUCCAGAAAGAUUUCUUAAAAGAACAUUAAUAGGAGAUGAAACAUGGAUUAUCAGUAUGACCCUGAAGCCAAAGCACAAUCAAAACAAUGGCUACCAAGAGGUGGAAGUGGCCCAGUCAAAAUAAGAGCAGACCAGUCAAGAGCAAAGAUCAUGGCAACAGUUUUUUGGAUGUUCAAGGCACUUUUCUUGACUUUCUGGAGGGUCAAAGAACAAUAAUAUCUCUCAUUAUGGGAGUGUUUUGAGAAAGUCAAAGCGUUAGCAGAAAAACGUCUGGCAAAGCCUCACCACAGAGUCCUUCUCCACCAUGACAAUGUUCCUGUUCAUUGUCACGAAACAAGCUCUCACGAAAUAAAGCUCUAAUUUUGCAAGAAUUUCAAUGGGAAAUCAUUAGGCAGCCACCUUACAGUCUUGAUUUGGUUUCUUCUGACUUUUUGUUUUCUAAUCUUAAAAUAAUCUUUAAGGGGCACCCAUUUUUCCUUAGUUAAUAAUGUAAAAAAGACUGCAUUGACAUAAUUCAAUUCCCAGGGUCUUCAUUUCUUAAGGAAUGGACUAUUUGGCCGGUAUCAUUGCUUACAAAAGUGUCUUAAACUUGAUGGAGCUUAUAUUGAGAAAUAAAGUUUAUAUUUUUCAUUUUAAUCUUUUAAUUAUAUUUUUCCACAAAAUUUUUGAAGUCCUCUCACAUAUAUAAAUUUUUGGAAUCAGCUUAUCAAGUCAUGUACAUUUACUGCUAUAUCACACUCUGUUUUGUGAAUAUUCCAAAAUUAUAGUCUAUGAUUUAUAUUGUUGUGACUAUUGCAUAAUUUACAUAUCAAUGUACUGAUGAUCAUAUUUUGCAAUAUUUUUGUUAUUGUUAUUCUAUUAUGAACAGUGCUACUAAUAUAAAUAGUAUUUGCCACCUCAUACACAGGUGCAAGUUUAUUGUAAUAGUCUUAGUAUUAAAUUUUCUGAGUCAUAGUUUAGCAAAAGCUCAACUUUUCACAGGAUAUUGCUGGAUUGUUCUCCAAAGUAGCUAAGUUAUACUCCUAUUAGCCGUAUAUGAGAGAUUCUAAUCAUCUUCAUUCUUCAACAUUUACUAUUUUCAGACUUACUAAUUUUGCCAGAAAAAAUACAUGACAAUUCAUACCCGUACCUGUAGUGGUCUUGAUUUCCAUUUACUCAGAAGACAUUGGACUUUUCUUCUUAUGUUUAUGGGCUAUAUUUUCCCUUCUUUUAUGAUAUUACUGUUCAUGUUUUUGCUCAUCUUAUUGGGUUAUGGGCCAUUUUAUUUUAUUUUUAUUUUUUAUUUAUUUAUUUUUUUUUGAGAUGGAGUCUCGCCCCGUCCUGCAGACUGGAGUGCAGUGGCACUAUCUCGACUCACUGCAACCUCCAAUGGGCCAUUUUAUAUCCUAACAUAUGAAGUAUCUGUUCAAAUCUUUUACCAUUUUUUUCCUGUAGGUGUGCUUGUCCUUUUCUUGUUAUAAUAAAACAGUUCUUUAUUUUUGAUACUAAUCUUUUAGAAAGUGUUCUGUUGGGCUGGGCAUGGUGGUUCAUGCCUGUAAUCCCACUCUGGGAGGCUGAGGUGGGUGGAUUACCUGAGGUCAGGAGUUCGAGACCAACCUGGCCAACAUGGUGAAACUCCAUCUCUACUGAAAAUACAAAAAUUAGCCCGGUGUGGUGGCGGGUGCCUGUAAUCCCAGCUACUCGGGAGGCUGAGGCAGGAAAAUUGCUUGAACCCAGGAGGUGGAGGUUGCAGUGAGCUGAGAGCAUGCCACUGCACUCUAGCCUGGGUGACAGAGUGAGACUCCAUCUCAAAAAAAAAAAAAAAAAAGAGAGAGAAAAGAAAAUGCUCUGUCAGUGGCAAAUAUCUCUUACUUUUUUUUUAGUUUUCUUUGAAACCUCUUUUAAUGAAUAGAAAUUUUUUUAUUUUAAUGUAGUUUAAUUCAUCUAUUUUUCUUUUUUAAUUGUCUUCAGUUUCUUUAGUCUUGUUUUCAUAAUCUUCUGGAUAUGAGUCUUGCAAAACAUCUUUUGUUAAUUUUCUCAUGGUUUUUGUUAUAAUAGUAUUUAGAGUUAUUUUAUAUAUUUAUGGUUAAUAUAAAUCAAAUUGCAUGUUGUUCUUGCUCUAAAUUACAGAUUCAAUAAUUUGCAACAAAACCUUAUCUCUUUGUAAGUCCUUAAGUUAAUUAAGUACUCUGGAUAUCUUCACAUAUAAAUACUUGUAUCAGCUGUCUUCUCUCUUACUACUCCAAUUAAAAUCCAGUAUCUAGAAUAGGGAAAAACCAGGUGAACAUCACCCUUACAGAGAUUUAUUUUAAGACAUAAUUUAGGGUGUGCUCCAUACUGCCUUGGCUAUGUACUAGUCUAUAUAUUCUAGAAGGGUCAUAUAUGUGCACAAAUUGAUUUGUGUAGCCAAAAGCUGCUCCAGUAUAAAUGUGCCACCAGGAUCCAUUUCAAAACAUUGCUUCCUCUUGCCAAGGUUAGUGCAGCUAUGCUUGCUAUCACUCAAGUAACCAGAGAAUGCCAGCGUUACAAUUGGUGUCUUUUGUCCCUUUCUUUUCACUGAUGGAAAUCUUUUUUAUCAUUCCAAUCAAAGAUCACUACCUUCCUAGGAGAAGUUUCAAUAGAAAGAAAAAAAUGUUAUACUUCCUCAGAAAAAUAGCACUUUCUUCAUAUAGCAAGUUUGUCCUCAUAAUUUAGCUCCCAAUUGUGAGUGAGAACAUAUGAUGUUUGGUUUUCCACUCCCGAGUUGCUUCACUUACAAUAAUAGUCUCCAAUUCAUGCCAACAUCUAUUAUUUUUUGAUUUUUUGAUCAUGACCAUUGUUGUAGGAGGGAGGUGGUAUCCCAUUAUGGUUUUGAUUUGUAUUUCCCUGAUAAUUAGUGAUGCUGAACAUCUUUCCAUAUACUUGUUGGCCAUUUGUAUAUCUGAGUAGAAGGUAAUUCUAAUAAAUAAAACAGGAAGGCAGCAGAAAGAGGUUUGUUUGGGAUAUGGCUUGAUUAUUUGCAAGAUAUUUGCUGUAGCUUAGGAGAAAGGUGGAUGUUGGUGAUACUGAUUUUGUCAUUAUCUGUGAGUUAAAGUUUCUAAAAUCACGUGGCUUCCUAGGGAAAGCAUAUAGAAUGACAAGGGAAGAUGGCUAGAUGGCUAGUAAUGGCACCCUGAACAACUUCAGCAUUUAGAGGUGGGUGGAGGAGGAUAAGCCCAUGGAAGAAACAGAAAGGAUGGGCCAGCGAGAUGAGAGGAGAAGCUAAGGGAGUAGACAGUUACCAGAGGGAAGGUGGGAUCAGUUAAGAACCUUAGUAUGUUGCAAAGAAAUAACCUGCAAUGCGGACCAACCCGGGGAACGUCUGUAAAAAUGAUGACAAUUCUUAAUUGUAAUUUAAAAUGUAAUUGUAUUGAGAGCUCUCUCUGUCUUUGUCUCAUCAUAAUUUGAAGCAGAUUAACUACAUAUUAGCUAGAAAAAGCCCUUUGAAAUUUUCCUUCAAUGUAUCAAUAGAUUCUAUGACUUUUUGUAAGUAGAAACUGCCUAUUGGUAAAAUAGCACUUAAUUGAGAUAAUGCUUGUGAAAGCCAUUUCUAAACUUUGAAUUGACAUACAAAAUAAAGGUGGCAAUCAUCACCAUGUUGCUAUACUGUCUUUGGCCAUAUAAAAUUUUUUUCAACAAUACAAAGAUAAGCCUUGUACAAAUUCUUCAAAAUUCUAAAUUUGUGGUACUUGAAUAAUGUUUUACUAUAUAUAAAGAUGAAUAGAUAGCAUUUCCUACAAUAAAUAAAUAAUUUAUAUAUCAAUGUGUUGGGAUUAUAAAUUCUCAUAGAAAUUCACUUUAUUAAUUCAUUCAUUCAUCUGAUCACAGUUCAUUCAGCAAAUAAUUUGUUUUGUUCUUUUUAAGUGCUCUGGGAAGAAGGUAUUGUGACAGAGUCCCUUCUCUCAAAGCGUUUAUAGAUUCAUGUGUUUGGGGAAAGUACAGAACAAUUAUUGAAAUAAAACCAGAGUCAGGCACAUUGCUAUGCCAGCUAUAAAGAGCCUAUGAAAAUUAGGAACAUUGACACAUUUGUUCCUAACCUGGUUUGUGCUUUCAGGAUUCCUCUGAAGUGGCAGCACUCCUUGGGUUUGAAAUGUUCGUCAGUAAUGACUGAUGGACAUCAACAGGUGAAUAGACACACAAAAAACCUAUGAAACUUACAUACCAUAGGUUACUAUUCAACAAUAAAAAGAAAAACUGUUGAUACAUCUAACAAUGUAGAUGAAUCUCAAAAGCAUUAUGCUAUUCCUUUGGCUGAUAAAAUGGUGACACUCCUUUAUUUCUCUUUCUUUCAUCCCACUUUUAAAAUCAGCCUUAGUAUACUUUAGGCACAAUAUACUAUAUACAUUUAAAAUGACAAUUUGACAAGUUUUGACAAAUGUAUAUACAUUAUAAAAAUCAUGAUAAAGAUUUCCGCCGCCUCAAAAUGUUUCCUCAUGCCUUCUUGGAAUAAAUCCACACAUUCCUUCCUUCUCUACACCCCACCACCCAUAUACUCUACCUCUAGACCCAAGCAAUUGCUAGUCUGCUUUUUGUCAGCGUAAAUUAGUUUGCAUUUUCUAGAAUUUCAUAUUAAUGGAAAUGUACAGUAAGUACUCUUUUGUGCCUGACUUCUUACAUUUAGUAUAGUGCUUUUAAGAUUUAUCCAAAUUGUUGGGUGUAUCAAUAAUUUGUUUCUUUUUAUUGCUGAGUAGUAUUCUAUUGUAUACGUGGUUCACAGUUUAUCCAUUCACCAGUUAAUGGACAUUCCAGUUGUUUUAUAUUUGGGGCUGUUAUGAAUAAAGCUGAUGUGAACAUUUGAAUAGAAGUCUGUUGUGAAUGUUUGGAUUGGAAUUGCUGGGUUGUACAGUAAGUGUUUGAUUAACUUCAUAAGAAACUGCCAAAUGAUUUUCCAAAGUGGCUACAUAUAAUUUUGCAUUUUCACCAGCAGUGUAUGAGAUUUCCAGUUGAUCCUCAUCCUCAUUCAAAACCUGGAAUUAAGAGUGAAUCUUUUAAAUUUUAGCCUUUUGAGAAAAUGUGUAGUGGUACUUCAUUGUAGUUUUAGUUCGCACUUCUCUAAUGACUAAUGAUGUUUAACAUGCUUUUAUAUCUUCUUUUGUCUCCAUCUAUUCUUUGUUCUUCAUUCUCUUUUCUUCCUUUAGAGUAAGUAUUUUUUAUUUUAUUCCAUUUUCACUAUUGGUAUAUUAUCUAUAAAUUCUUUGUUGUUGUUCCAUUUUAGUGGGUUUACAAUAUAAAUCUUUAACUUAUCACAGUCUGUCAUCAAAUAAUGGUAUACCCCUUACAUAUGUUUUAGGAACCUUACAGUGGUAAAAAUAUCAGUUCCCCAUCCUGUACUUGUUGCUAUUGUUUUCAUGCAUUUUAUUCUGUAUAUAUUAUAAACUCUACAAUCUAUCAUUAUUACUUUUUGUUUAAAUAUUAAAUUCUUUAAAAGAGAUUUUUAAAAAUAAGAAAAUAGUCUUUCAUAUUUUCUCAUGUAUUUGCCAUUUUUAUUGUUUUUUUUUUCUUCCAUAUUUGAGAUCCAAAUUUCUAUCUGGUAUACUUUUCCUUCUGCCUGAAUAACUACCUUUAGUAUUUUUUUGUAGUACAGAUCUGUUGGCAAUGAUUAUCUGAACUUCUGUAUGUCUGAAAAAGCCUUUAGCUAAUUUUUGAAAGUUUUUUGAUGGACAUAUGAUAUGGUUUGGCCCUGUGUCUCCAUCUAAAUCUUAUCUUGAAUUGUAAUCCCCAUGAUCCCCAUGUGUCAAGGGUGGGACCAGGUGGAGGUAAUUGGAUCAUGAGGGCCGUUCGCCCCAUGCUGUUCUCCUAAUAAUGAGUGAGUCUCAUGAGAUCCGAUGGUUUUAUAAGUGUCUGACAUUUCCCCUGCUUGCACUUCUCCUUUCUGCCACCUUGUGAAGCAGGUGCCUGUUUCCCCUUCACCUUCUGCCAUGAUUGUAAGUUUCAUGAGGUCUCCCCAGCCUUGCUGAACUGUUAGUCAAUUAAACCUCUUUCCUUUAUAAAUUACCCAGUCUCAGGUAUUUCUUCAUAGCAGCAUGAGAAUGGACUAACACGGUACAUACAAUUACAGGUUGCUAGUCCCUUUUUUCCCUUCAGUGCUUUAAGGAUUUCACUCUUCCAUAGUUUCUGAUGAGUAGUCUGACCAUUCCUAACUUUGUGCCAUUAUUUUCUCAUUUUUUUCUGACUCUCCCUUCUGGGACUCCAAUUACAAAUAUCCCAGACUUCCUAACUUUGGCAGGUCAAGAGAUCGAGACCAUCCUGGUCAACAUGGUGAAACCCAGUCUCUACUAAAUAUACAAAAAAUUAGCCAGGCAUGGUGGUGGGCGC
rnacentral:lncRNA from 1 species